rnacentral:siRNA from 1 species
AUAUCAUUUUGUUAUUUAGGUGGA